rnacentral:lncRNA from 1 species
UGGAGUCACAGCACCUAAACUAACCUAAGUCAGGAAGCAUCUGUGAUUGGCCAUCCUGAGUCACAUGCCCAUUGUAGCUGGGAGUGGAGUCACGGCACCUAAACCAACGUAAGGCAGGAAGGAGCUGUGAUUGGCCACCCUGAGCCACAUGCCCAUUAGUAGCUGGGGGUGGAGUCACAGCACCUAAACCACACCCUAAGGCAGGAAGGAGGUGUGAUUGGCCAUCCUGAGUUACAUGCCCGUUGUAGCUUGGGGUGGAGUCACAGCACCUAAAGCGCAUGGACUGGAAGUAGAGGGAAGGGCAGUUUCCCAGAGGAAAACCAGAGUGAUAUCAUUAGAAAAAAGAGUUCCUGCUGAGAGGCAAAGAUUUACACAUGCAGACCCCAGCCACUAUUUACUGAGGGCUAGAUUGUACCAGGCACUUUACCUGUGCUGUGAUCAUGUAAUCCUGUCAAGUAAGUAUUAUCCCUAUCUUGCAGAUGAAGAAACUGACACUCAAAGAGUGUCUUGCUUAAGGUCCCACGGUGACAGAACUGAGAUCAGAACAUGGUCACCUGACUGCAAAAUUCGUGCCUUUGCCCCUCUAUGCCCCAAAGUCCUCCAUCUCUUUUUUAUACCAGAAAAAAAUACACAAAAAACCCCAAAACACGUGUGAUGAAUGACAUUCUCACAUACAACCUGUCCUGUGGGGUUAAACUCAAUUCCUCUUGUGAGACCUCUAUUCGACCCUUCUCUCUCCCACUCCACUGUGACAACUCUGGUGAGAGGUCAGCUCAGAGGGAGCAGGUUGCAGCUGCCUACACCCCGAAGCCUGCGGCAUCCGGGGCUCUCCUGCCUUGUGCCCUCUGGAUCGUACUCACCUGUGGCCGUGGACCUUGGGCCUGGGAGGAUAGCGGUGAGCCCACCUCCCACGGCUCGCCUUCUGGGGCCGGCUGACUUGCUGGGCCAUUAACCAGCAAAGCCGCAGCAGCAAUAAAAUUAAUUUCCUUCCUAAUAUAUACAAGACUUUCUGCAGGAGAAUUAUGGACCGAUUUGAUCAAAGUGUGCAAAACCCAGCAGGAAGAUAGAAGACAAUAGAGCCGUGAUUUUGACCCAGCCUCCCAGGACACAGAUGGGGUGAAGAAAUCAAAGGGGCAAACAGAAUUUGCAGCCCAAGUUUCGAAGGGGCAGUUGGGAGACAUCUUUAGGCUUUCUGCAACCAAGCCACCGUCUUCCACACAGCAAGAGACAGUUACUCAGUGGAGGAAUAAGCCUUCAGUUGCAUACCGCUCUGUGCAUUGGAUGGGAGGAUUUUGAAACUUUUGGAAGCUCCAUACUGUGGCUUUAUUCCAUGAAUCCACCAGCGCUGUGCACCAAAGUUUCUCUGUGGAGGGAGAACAUAUUUUUGCAGAGCAAGUACAGAUAAGAGGUUGGGUGCCUGAAGCCUGGAUAAUAAUAGAAUGACAGCUGAUGAUUCAUCAGUGCUCUUCAGAGCCAGCUGAUAAUACGUUGCCAGCCUUUCCCCUUUGCUCAGACAGAACAGCCACCCUCACCCACGGGGAUUCCUGCCCAGAAGGAAUUUCCACAGCCCUGUACCAAGCAUGCUUAAAGUGGCUGCCAUUUAUGUGGGGUUUCCAUGUGCCAAGGGGCACGCCAAUGGUCCUUUACAUCAACUCACUUAAUCUUUAUAUCCUCAUGACCGCCCCAGGAGAUACAUAAUAACAUCUACAUUUUAUAGGCAGAGACAGAAGCUUGGCUCAGCAUAACAGAGAGGGAGUGUGGAGCAGUGGUCAGGAUCACAGCCAGUAAAUCCAGAUGACCUGGGUUCAAGUCCCAGUCCUGCCACUUCCCAGCUGUGGGCUUUUGCACAAGUCACAUGGUCUUCCUGUGUCUCAGCCCCCACCCCCCCAUCUGUAAACAAAACAACACUGUAAAAUAACAGUGUCUACCUCAUGGGGAUCUUGCAAAGAUCAAAUAAAGAGCUUUGAAGAACAUCUGACUUAUAGUAAGCUCUGUGUGAGCAUUAGCUCAGAGAUAGUUCUCAUGUUAAACUAAAUAAGUUGCCCAAAGUCACAUAGACAGAAAUUAGCAGUGCUGAUUGUGCAAACCUGCAUCCUGAAGUGAGGCCUUGGAACCAGGGUUGUCCUGGAGCUGGUUUUACCAGCUUGCAAGAGCCAACUGUUAAAUUCUCAGGACUUCUGUGAACCAGUUGUUAAACACAGACAUUAUUAAAAAUUAAAUUAUAUCAAGUUUAC